rnacentral:lncRNA from 1 species
AAGAAAGCGAGCAAUCACGCGGUCAGAUCCGAGAUCUUGAAAGAAUCCGCGACGACCUUGAGCCUGUUCCGCAGCCUGCUCCACCGGCGUUCGUUCGCGGUCACGAUCAGCGUGUAGUACCGGCCUGGUAAGAAUAAUACAGAGUUCCAUCCCCUUUUAUUCAGACGGGAACACACGAGCCGACCUAGAUUUUGUAGUUUAAUUAUAGGCAUCAUCCUACCGUUUCCAAUGGCGACCGUUGCAAAGGCAGAAACGCCGUAGCCCGGAGCCUCCAGAUCGUACUCAAACGUCCAGUAGUUCUUGCCGUCCACCGUGCGCUGCAAAAAUAGUAGGAUCAACCGCUAAUUUCAGUAGCAAUGUUUAGCCGUGUAUAAUCCUGCUACUGAAUUGCAUCUCAAAUGAACACUGAUAUGCACAGCUAUAGAACAGCAAAUGCACAGUAGCGCAUGAAUUGCUCAUCGACGCUUCUGCUCAGGCACUUAGUAAAUCUAGAGCAUCAAAAUAAAUUUGCAACUCCGUGGCGCCGAGUAAGAAUGCUGAUUGCAUGAACAAUGAACAGAUGGCAAACCUCUUGCAUGUCAUAGAUGGACGGUAUUUGAUUUGGGGCAGCAUAAACGUUGUUUACCAAAUUGAAGAUGGCCUGGUAUAAUGUUAAAAAUGCUCAUCAGAUCAGCAAAAAUGAAUAUUCAGCGCUGCGGCUGCAGGGUAUUCAAAGCUAUGUCUAUUUUUUGACCUAAUCAAAGAAAAGGGUACAUAGUAGAAGAAAAAAAUUGAAACCCACCUCAUCCAUUGGUCCUAGGUCACGGAUAUCUGUUUUCUCAGUAGGAACAAAUCCCACACGGACACACUGAAGAGCCAGAUUACGAUCUUUGAAUGCUGAAUCGUGACCCAAGAAGUCGAAAUCC